rnacentral:piRNA from 1 species
UGGGUAUAAACAUGACUGCAGAACUCCUC